rnacentral:rRNA from 1 species
GGAGGAUCAUUAUCGUAGGGCUUCGGCCCUGUCGAGAUAGAACCCUUGCCUUUUUGAGUACCUUUCGUUUCCUCGGCAGGCUCGCCUGCCAAUGGGGACCACAAAAAACACUUUGCAGUACCUGUAACAGUCUGAACAAACAAAACAAAAAUUAAAACUUUCAACAACGGAUCUCUUGGUUCUGGCAUCGAUGAAGAACGCAGCGAAAUGCGAUAAGUAGUGUGAAUUGCAGAAUUCAGUGAAUCAUCGAAUCUUUGAACGCACAUUGCGCCCUUUGGUAUUCCUGAGGGCAUGCCUGUUCGAGCGUCAUUUAAACCUUCAAGCUAAGCUUGGUGUUGGGUGACUGUCCGCUUCACUGCGGACUCGCCUCAAAAUUAUUGGCGGCCGGUACAUUGGCUUCGAGCGCAGCAGAAACGCGAACUCGGGCCCGUCGUAUUGGCUCCCAGAAGCUAUCUUCACAAUUUUGACCUCGGAUCAGGUAGGGAUACCCGCUGAACUUAAGCAUAUCAAUAAGCGGAGGA